AUACGUAGGGGGCGAGCGUUGUCCGGAAUGAUUGGGCGUAAAGGGCGCGUAGGCGGCCCGGUAAGUCUGGAGUGAAAGUCCUGUUUUUAAGAUGGGAAUUGCUUUGGAUACUGUCGGGCUUGAGUGCAGGAGAGGUAAGUGGAAUUCCCAGUGUAGCGGUGAAAUGCGUAGAGAUUGGGAGGAACACCAGUGGCGGAGGCGACUUACUGGACUGUAACUGACGCUGAGGCGCGAAAGUGUGGGGAGCAAACAGGAUUAGAUACCCUGGUAGUCCACACUGUAAACGAUGAAUGCUAGGUGUAGGGGGUAUCGACCCCUUCUGUGCCGCAGUCAACACAAUAAGCAUUCCGCCUGGGGAGUACGGCCGCAAGGUUGAAACUCAAAUGAAUUGACGGGG
rnacentral:rRNA from 1 species